UACAGAGGUCUCAAGCGUUGUUCGGAUUCAUGGGGCGUAAAGGGUGCGUAGGUGGCGCUCUAAGUCAGGUGUGAAAUUUCGGAGCUUAACUCCGAAACUGCAUUUGAUACUGGCGUGCUUGAGGACUGGAGAGGAGACUGGAAUUCAUGGUGUAGCAGUGAAAUGCGUAGAGAUCAUGAGGAAGACCAGUGGCGAAGGCGGGUCUCUGGACAGUUCCUGACACUGAGGCACGAAGGCCAGGGGAGCAAACGGG
rnacentral:rRNA from 1 species